UAGGGAAUAUUAGUAAUGGGCGAAAGCCUGAACUAGCAACGCCGCGUGUGCGAAGAAGGCCUUCGGGUUGUAAAGCACUUCUUGAGAGGAUGAGGAAGGACGGUACUCUCAGAAUAAGUCUCGGCUAACUACGUGCCAGCACCGCGGUAACACGUAGGAGGCGAACGUUAUCCGGAUUUACUGGGCGUAAAAGCGCGUGUAGGUGGUUCUGUAAGUAGGGCGUGAAGGCUCCCGGCUCAACUGGGAGAGGCCGUUCUAAACUGCAGAGCUAGAGGAUGGUAGAGGGAGGUGGAAUUCCGGGUGUAGCGGUGGAAUGCGCAGAUAUCCGGAGGAACACCAGUGGCGAAGGCGGCCUCCUGGGCCAUUCCUGCACUCAGACGCGAAAGCUAGGGUAGCAAACGGGGAUUAGAGACCCCGGUAGUCCUAGCCGUAAACGAUGUGAACUUGGCGUCGGCGGGUUCAAAUCCGUCGGUGCCGCAGCUAACGCGAUAAGUU
rnacentral:rRNA from 1 species